GUUUUAACCUUGCUUUUAUCAGUCAUCAUUCUCAUUUUCUCAUCUCAUUGAGAACUUUAAAUUCAGACGUCCCUGGUUUUAUUUUUUUAUUUACUUAUUUGCUUGCUCAUUUAUUUAAUGUUUGUUUGUUUGUUUUGAGACGUCUCACUAACUGUAUAGGCCAGGCUGGCCUUGAACUCACAGCAAGCCUCCUGCCUCAGCCUCCCGGGAUUACAAGCAUGGACCAUCAUGCCCGGCUUCUGGUUUAUUUUUAACAUCAUAAAAUGAGGUGCAGAGACACACUGUACCAAAAGAGUCAUUUGGAGUUAAGCAGCAAAUAUCACAACCCUUCACCCCCAACUUCUUUCAGUGCCCUAAGAAUAAAGAUAUUCUUCUAUCAACGACAAUGCCAUUAUUAUAACUAGACAAAGUUAGCCACGAUUCCCUGGCCCCACUAAAUAUGUCUGAGGGCCUAAAUCACAUUUGGGGGAGACCAACUGCCAUGGAUGGGCAGCUUCAAGGAAUACGUGACACGUGUCAAAGAGCCCAGUUUAGCGCCUGGCUGCUUGGAACCUUCUAGAUGUCCGCACCUGGCCCCCGUGUCACCAUUUACGAGCACUAGGUGAAUCCAGCCCCUGUCGCUGUCGUCCGGCGACGAAUGUGCAGGCGGGGCUCCCAGCUGCCCACGCAGCCAUACGAGCAGACAGGAAGGC
rnacentral:lncRNA from 1 species